rnacentral:rRNA from 1 species
CCCUUUACUAAGGAAUAGCCACUGGAAACGGUGAGUAAUACCUUAUACGCCCUUCGGGGGAAAGAUUUAUCGGUAAAGGAUCAGCCCGCGUUAGAUUAGAUAGUUGGUGGGGUAAUGGCCUACCAAGUCUACGAUCUAUAGCUGGUUUUAGAGGAUGAUCAGCAACACUGGGACUGAGACACGGCCCAGACUCCUACGGGAGGCAGCAGUGGGGAAUCUUAGACAAUGGGCGCAAGCCUGAUCUAGCCAUGCCGCGUGAGUGAUGAAGGUCUUAGGAUCGUAAAGCUCUUUCGCCAGGGAUGAUAAUGACAGUACCUGGUAAAGAAACCCCGGCUAACUCCGUGCCAGCAGCCGCGGUAAUACGGAGGGGGUUAGCGUUGUUCGGAAUUACUGGGCGUAAAGCGUACGUAGGCGGAUUAGAAAGUAUGGGGUGAAAUCCCAGGGCUCAACCCUGGAACUGCCUCAUAAACUACUAGUCUAGAGUUCGAGAGAGGUGAGUGGAAUUCCGAGUGUAGAGGUGAAAUUCGUAGAUAUUCGGAGGAACAUCAGUGGCGAARGCGGCUCACUGGCUCGAUACUGACGCUGAGGUACGAAAGUGUGGGGAGCAAACAGGAUUAGAUACCCUGGUA